GUACACAAAAAUGCACAUGCUGUGAGCUCGAUGAGUAGGGCGGGACACGUGGUAUCCUGUCUGAAUAUGGGGGGACCAUCCUCCAAGGCUAAAUACUCCUGACUGACCGAUAGUGAACCAGUACCGUGAGGGAAAGGCGAAAAGAACCCCGGCGAGGGGAGUGAAAAAGAACCUGAAACCGUGUACGUACAAGCAGUGGGAGCACGCUUAGGCGUGUGACUGCGUACCUUUUGUAUAAUGGGUCAGCGACUUAUAUUCUGUAGCAAGGUUAACCGAAUAGGGGAGCCGAAGGGAAACCGAGUCUUAACUGGGCGUUAAGUUGCAGGGUAUAGACCCGAAACCCGGUGAUCUAGCCAUGGGCAGGUUGAAGGUUGGGUAACACUAACUGGAGGACCGAACCGACUAAUGUUGAAAAAUUAGCGGAUGACUUGUGGCUGGGGGUGAAAGGCCAAUCAAACCGGGAGAUAGCUGGUUCUCCCCGAAAGCUAUUUAGGUAGCGCCUCGUGAAUUCAUCUCCGGGGGUAGAGCACUGUUUCGGCAAGGGGGUCAUCCCGACUUACCAACCCGAUGCAAACUGCGAAUACCGGAGAAUGUUAUCACGGGAGACACACGGCGGGUGCUAACGUCCGUCGUGAAGAGGGAAACAACCCAGACCGCCAGCUAAGGUCCCAAAGUCAUGGUUAAGUGGGAAACGAUGUGGGAAGGCCCAGACAGCCAGGAUGUUGGCUUAGAAGCAGCCAUCAUUUAAAGAAAGCGUAAUAGCUCACUGGUCGAGUCGGCCUGCGCGGAAGAUGUAACGGGGCUAAACCAUGCACCGAAGCUGCGGCAGCGACGCUUAUGCGUUGUUGGGUAGGGGAGCGUUCUGUAAGCCUGCGAAGGUGUGCUGUGAGGCAUGCUGGAGGUAUCAGAAGUGCGAAUGCUGACAUAAGUAACGAUAAAGCGGGUGAAAAGCCCGCUCGCCGGAAGACCAAGGGUUCCUGUCCAACGUUAAUCGGGGCAGGGUGAGUCGACCCCUAAGGCGAGGCCGAAAGGCGUAGUCGAUGGGAAACAGGUUAAUAUUCCUGUACUUGGUGUUACUGCGAAGGGGGGACGGAGAAGGCUAUGUUGGCCGGGCGACGGUUGUCCCGGUUUAAGCGUGUAGGCUGGUUUUCCAGGCAAAUCCGGAAAAUCAAGGCUGAGGCGUGAUGACGAGGCACUACGGUGCUGAAGCAACAAAUGCCCUGCUUCCUGGAAAAGCCUCUAAGCAUCAGGUAACAUCAAAUCGUACCCCAAACCGACACAGGUGGUCAGGUAGAGAAUACCAAGGCGCUUGAGAGAACUCGGGUGAAGGAACUAGGCAAAAUGGUGCCGUAACUUCGGGAGAAGGCACGCUGAUAUGUAGGUGAAGCGACUUGCUCGUGGAGCUGAAAUCAGUCGAAGAUACCAGCUGGCUGCAACUGUUUAUUAAAAACACAGCACUGUGCAAACACGAAAGUGGACGUAUACGGUGUGACGCCUGCCCGGUGCCGGAAGGUUAAUUGAUGGGGUCAGCGCAAGCGAAGCUCUUGAUCGAAGCCCCGGUAAACGGCGGCCGUAACUAUAACGGUCCUAAGGUAGCGAAAUUCCUUGUCGGGUAAGUUCCGACCUGCACGAAUGGCGUAAUGAUGGCCAGGCUGUCUCCACCCGAGACUCAGUGAAAUUGAACUCGCUGUGAAGAUGCAGUGUACCCGCGGCAAGACGGAAAGACCCCGUGAACCUUUACUAUAGCUUGACACUGAACAUUGAGCCUUGAUGUGUAGGAUAGGUGGGAGGCUUUGAAGUGUGGACGCCAGUCUGCAUGGAGCCGACCUUGAAAUACCACCCUUUAAUGUUUGAUGUUCUAACGUUGACCCGUAAUCCGGGUUGCGGACAGUGUCUGGUGGGUAGUUUGACUGGGGCGGUCUCCUCCUAAAGAGUAACGGAGGAGCACGAAGGUUGGCUAAUCCUGGUCGGACAUCAGGAGGUUAGUGCAAUGGCAUAAGCCAGCUUGACUGCGAGCGUGACGGCGCGAGCAGGUGCGAAAGCAGGUCAUAGUGAUCCGGUGGUUCUGAAUGGAAGGGCCAUCGCUCAACGGAUAAAAGGUACUCCGGGGAUAACAGGCUGAUACCGCCCAAGAGUUCAUAUCGACGGCGGUGUUUGGCACCUCGAUGUCGGCUCAUCACAUCCUGGGGCUGAAGUAGGUCCCAAGGGUAUGGCUGUUCGCCAUUUAAAGUGGUACGCGAGCUGGGUUUAGAACGUCGUGAGACAGUUCGGUCCCUAUCUGCCGUGGGCGCUGGAGAACUGAGGGGGGCUGCUCCUAGUACGAGAGGACCGGAGUGGACGCAUCACUGGUGUUCGGGUUGUCAUGCCAAUGGCACUGCCCGGUAGCUAAAUGCGGAAGAGAUAAGUGCUGAAAGCAUCUAAGCACGAAACUUGCCCCGAG
rnacentral:rRNA from 1 species